CAAAAGGAAUCAUUGCGCAUUGAUUGUUGUAUUUAGACAUCUCUUCCUCAUCCUAAACCAAACUGUAAUCAUCUGCGUUUUGGUGUUCUAAGGACUGGAUGGGGGGGAAGAAGCGAUGGAAGUUGGAAGAAAUUAGUAGCUCAGAGAAGAGGGGGAAGGGAGAUUGGAGCUACUGGAAAUUAUAGGAAUGGGCUCUUUGGGAUGACGGAUCAAAGCUAAGUUUUAAUCGUUUUUUAUGCAGCAAUUCUUCCCAAGGCCGCCCGUUCCGGUGAUUUCCAGGGGCUUCUCCCUUUCCCUUACAUCUCUCCCAAGUUUCUUUACCUAUGGAGGAAGAUCUUGUUCAAAUAAAAGAAAAAGAAAAAGAGAAAACUCCUUUCACAGAGAAAGGCAUGAUGAUGAUGAUGAUGCCUAAGAUCUAAGCUGUUAAGACAAUCCAUUAGGGAUGACAACUCUCUAAUGGUAGAAUUGUUAUAUAUAUGUAUAUAUUUAUUCCCCUGGUCGUUCAAUUAAUCAAUGUGGUUCCUUCUAUCUUUAUUCUAUAGUUGAAAGAAUGAUGCAAUUGUUAAUUAAA